rnacentral:rRNA from 1 species
UACGUAGGGGGCAAGCGUUGUCCGGAAUCAUUGGGCGUAAAGCGCGUGUAGGCGGUUCGGUAAGUCUGCUGUGAAAGUCCAGGGCUCAACCCUGGGAUGCCGGUGGAUACUGUCGGACUAGAGUACGGAAGAGGCGAGUGGAAUUCCCCGGUGUAGCGGUGAAAUGCGCAGAUAUCGGGAGGAACACCAAUUGCGAAGGCAGCUCGCUGGGACGUCACUGACGCUGAGACGCGAAAGCGUGGGGAGCAAACAGGG